CCUACGGGAGGCAGCAGUAGGGAAUUUUCGUCAAUGGGCGCAAGCCUGAACGAGCGAUGCCGCGUGAGUGAAGAAGGCCUUCGGGUCGUCAAGCUCUGUUGCGGGGGAAAAAAGGCAGCAUCAGGAAAUGGGUGCUGACUGAUGGUGCCCCGCCAGAAAGUCACGGCUAACUACGUGCCAGCAGCCGCGGUAAUACGUAGGUGGCGAGCGUUAUCCGGAAGGAUUGGGCGUAAAGGGUGCGCAGGCGGUCCUGCAAGUCUGGAGUGAAACGCAUGAGAUCAACUCAUGCAUGGCUUGGGAAACUGGAGGACUGGAGAGCAGGAGAGGGUGGUGGAACUCCAUGUGUAGCGGUAAAAUGCGUAGAUAUAUGGAAGAACACCAGUGGCGAAGGCGGCCGCCUGGCCUGUUGCUGACGCUGAGGCACGAAAGCGUGGGGAGCAAAUAGGAUUAGAUACCCGGGUAGUC
rnacentral:rRNA from 1 species